AAUCAACGCUGGCGGCGUGCCUAACACAUGCAAGUCGAACGCGAAAGCCCCUUCGGGGGCAAGUAGAGUGGCGUCCGGGUGAGUAACACGUGGGUAAUCUACCUCCGGGUGGGGAAUAACUCGCCGAAAGGUGGGCUAAUACCGCAUAAUGCAGCGGCACCGAAUGGUGAUUAGUUGUUAAAGCGGGGGACCUUAGGGCCUCGCGUCUGGAGAGGAGCCUGCGGCAGAUUAGCUUGUUGGUAGGGAAUGGCCUACCAAGGCUGCGAUCUGUAGCUGGUCUGAGAGGACGGCCAGCCACACUGGCACUGACACACGGGCCAGACUCCUACGGGAGGCAGCAGUGGGGAAUCUUGCGCAAUGGGCGAAAGCCUGACGCAGCGACGCCGCGUGA
rnacentral:rRNA from 1 species